GAUGAAGAACGCAGCGAAAUGCGAUACUUGGUGUGAAUUGCAGAAUCCCGUGAACCAUCGAGUCUUUGAACGCAAGUUGCGCCUCAAGCCAUUAGGUUGAGGGCACGUCUGCCUGGGCGUCACAUAUCGUUGCCUGAUGCCAGUUUCCUCGUGAUGGGUGACUGUGCAGGGCGAAUGAUGGCUUCCCGUGAGCAUUGUUGCCUCAUGGUUGGUUGAAAAUUGAGUCCUUGGUAGGGAGCGCCGUGAUAGAUGGUGGUUGAGUGACGAACGAGACCCAAUCAUGUGAGACCCCUACCGAAUUUGGCCUUCAUGACCCACAUGCGUCUUUGGAACGCUCAUGACGAGACCUCAGGUCAGGCGGGGCUACCCGCUGAGUUUAAGCAUAUCAAUAAGCGUAGGA
rnacentral:misc_RNA from 1 species